GACGAACGCUGGCGGCGUGCUUAACACAUGCAAGUCGAACGGAAAGGCCCUGCUUUUGUGGGGUGCUCGAGUGGCGAACGGGUGAGCAACACGUGAGUAACCUGCCCUUGACUUUGGGGUAACUUCAGGAAACUGGGGCUAAUACCGGAUAGGAGCUCCUGCUGCAUGGUGGGGGUUGGAAAGUUUCGGCGGUUGGGGCUGGACUCGCGGCUUAUCCGCUUGUUGGUGGGGUAGGGGCUUACAAGGGCUUUGAAGGGUAGCCGGCCUGAGAGGGUGACCGGCCACAUUGGUACUGAGAGACGGCCCAGACGCCUACGGGAGGCAGCAGUGGGGAAUAUGGCACAAUGGGCGGAAGCCUGAGGCAGCAACGCCGCGUGCGGGAUGACCGCCUUCGGGUUGUAAACCGCUUUCGCCUGUGACGAAGCGUGAGUGACGGUAAUGGGUAAAGAAGCACCGGCUAACUACGUG
rnacentral:rRNA from 1 species